CUAAUUAUGGCAGAAUAGUGCUAUGGGUUUAAGCUCCAUAUAUAAAGUUUAUACUUUUUUUAGA
rnacentral:tRNA from 1 species